rnacentral:rRNA from 1 species
AGCAGCCGCGGUAAUUCCAGCUCCAAUAGCGUAUAUUAAAGUUGUUGCAGUUAAAAAGCUCGUAGUUGAAUUUCGGGGUCAGUAAGUUGGUCGUGCCACCGGUAUGUACUGGCUUUACUGAUUCCUCCUUCUUGAAGAACUGUAAUGCCAUUAAUUUGGUGUUGCAGGGAAACAGAACUGUUACUUUGAAAAAAUUAGAGUGUUUAAAGCAGGCUAACGCUUGAAUACAUUAGCAUGGAAUAAUGAAAUAGGACGUUGAUUUCUAUUUUGUUGGUUUCUAGGGUCGACGUAAUGAUUAAUAGGGAUAGUUGGGGGCAUUAGUAUUCAAUUGUCAGAGGUGAAAUUCUUGGAUUUAUUGAAGACUAACUACUGCGAAAGCAUUUGCCAGGAUGUUUUCAUUAAUCAAGAACGAAAGUUAGGGAUCGAAGACGAUCAGACUACGUCGUAGUCUUAACAUAACUAUGCCGACGUAGGGAUCGGGAUGAUUAGUUAAUUUUUAAUGUACUNAUUCGGCUCCGUU